rnacentral:snRNA from 1 species
CGAUCUGGCUGCGACAUGUGUCACCCCAUUGAUCGCCAGGGUUGAUUUGGCUGAUCUGGCUCCAUGUACAUCCCUCCU